GCGGCGUGCUUAACACAUGCAAGUCGAACGAUGAUCAGGAGCUGCUCCUGUGAUUAGAGGCGAACGGGUGAGGAACACGUGAGUAACCUGCCCCUGACUCUGGGAUAAGCGUUGGAAACGACGUCUAAUACUGGAUACGACUGCCGGCCGCAUGGUCUGGUGGGGAAAGAUUUUUUGGUUGGGGAUGGACUCGCGGCCUAUCAGCUUGUUGGUGAGGUAAUGGCUCACCAAGGCGACGACGGGUAGCCGGCCUGAGAGGGUGACCGGCCACACUGGGACUGAGACACGGCCCAGACUCCUACGGGAGGCAGCAGUGGGGAAUAUUGCACAAUGGGCGAAAGCCUGAUGCAGCAACGCCGCGUGAGGGAUGACGGCCUUCGGGUUGUAAGCCUCUUUUAGUAGGGAAGAAGCGAAAGUGACGGUACCUGCAGAAAAAGCACCGGCUAACUACGUGCCAGCAGCCGCGGUAAUACGUAGGGUGCAAGCGUUGUCCGGAAUUAUUGGGCGUAAAGAGCUCGUAGGCGGUUUGUCGCGUCUGCUGUGAAAUCCCGAGGCUCAAACUCGGGCUUGCAGUGGGUACGGGCAGACUAGAGUGCGGAAGGGGAGAUUGGAAUUCCUGGUGUAGCGGUGGAAUGCGCAGAUAUCAG
rnacentral:rRNA from 1 species